rnacentral:lncRNA from 1 species
GGUCUUAUUCGUACUGUAAUACACUGAAUUGUGGCAAAUUGCGAAGUGAGUAUUAGAAUAGUAAUUGGAACUCUUCUACAACUUUUGAAGGAUUGUUAAGAGGUUUCCACAAGUUACUGGGACAAACAGAGAGCUGGAAAUGGAAAAGUGCAUUGCAAAUGUACUUUUCCAAUGUAGUAUUUGAAUCGGGUUGAUUAUGAAGUUUGAGAAGUGGAAUGGGUUAUGGGAACUGACCCACAUCUUUUAAAGAGUGGUAGAAAGGUUUUUGACAAGUUAAAAGAGUGAUCGAAUCGCCGAAAGAUCGAAAGUGCAUUGGAAAUUCGAAUUGCAGAAAUUUGCAUAGUGUACCGGUACAACCAUUAUUGUGUACCGGUACACAGCACAGCAGUAGCUGCGGGCUGAGACUAUUUUGGUCAUUUCACUUCCCUAACUGAUUCUUAUCAGCUUAGCUCGACCCCUGA